ACUCGGUUUUUCUGAUAACGCCAACAACGGAAAAUGGAAAAUGAAUAUUUAUAAAAUAAUAAUAAUCAAAUAAUCAUAUUUCUUAUAGAUAAAACCUAAAUUUUAUCUCUACUAUAUCGACUAUUGCGUUCUAUCUUCUAUGACCUAUGUAAAGAGAGGGUAUUUACGGCUACAACUAAAAUCGAACGGAAUAAAAACGAUGGUAAAAAUACAGUUUUAUUGUAUUUAUUACACGCUAUAAUAUAGUACCUACUGCAAAAAAAAUUACUAAAGAUCAUAAUGGGAAGAAGUGUCAAAUAAAAUACCUACUCAAUAAAAGAUUCUCAAAACAGCUCAGUAGCUGAAAUUGAUGAACACAUUGUUAUGCCGCAGAAUGAAAAAAAUCCAAUUCAGCCAUUUAUUAUUAUUGUAGGUACCCCUACUAAUCCUAAA